GUUAACUUUAUUAAUUAAUAAGAAUCGGAUUUCUGUCGAUUGGUUCGGAGAAGAUUCACGGACUUGCGAUAAGUGAAAUUUUAACGCGAUAUCUAUAGAAAAUAUAUGAAAUUAGAGAAUAUACUUUACGUAAUACAACGGCGAUUUAAUAUCUUUGAAAUCAAUUAGACGAAUUGCUAAUCAAUUUGGAUAUUUCCACCCAUAACUGUUAUUUACGAAUACCAUGGAAUUAUUGCAUCGAUUUAUUCGCCACUCUCGUUCGGUUAAUAACAAAGAGAACCGUGUUAUAUCGGAUGCGACGAUACCAGACGAGACGCGAGCGUGGAACGCCUCGAGUCGAACCGAGACAAUGGCGAGGACGAUGUCGAAACGGGGCACGAAAUCACCGUGAACUCGUUGCAAACGUACGCGAGAGGAAUUAACCAGAAUCGUGACUCACUCGCCGAUUGCCACCGCGACACGAGCGAAACGAGCGUUUUUCUCACGUUUUGUUUGAAGUAACGAGAGAUUAGCUGGCAGCGAUAAUUUUCAAAGUACACAAAGAAACAUGCUCGAGGGAAAUACGAAAAAAAGUAGGAAUUCUGGUACAUUCGGCUAAACCAAGAAGAUACGUAGAAGCAGAUACACAGUACAAUUGCGAAUAACGAGGGCUCAGACGUAUUCUUAAUUGCUAAUUGACUUUAAUAGCAGUGUGCCGAAGCGUACGCGUUUGAUGAUCAAACGCACAGAAUAAUUGGUAGAACUAAUUAAACGAUGCUAUCACGGAGGAACGUGACUCCUUAAUUAUUUCGAGCAGUCGCGAUGGCAUAUUAAUCACGGUGUAAUGUAAAUUAUGUGCGUUAUCACGGCUAGUAGAAUACGCGUACAUUGAAGCGUC
rnacentral:misc_RNA from 1 species